GAUGAACGCUGGCGGCGUGCCUAAUACAUGCCAGUCGAGCGAACGGACGAGAAGCUUGCUUCUCUGAUGUUAGCGGCGGACGGGUGAGUAACACGUGGAUAACCUACCUAUAAGACUGGGAUAACUUCGGGAAACCGGAGCUAACACCGGAUAAUAUUUUGAACCGCAUGGUUCAAAAGUGAAAGACGGUCUUGCUGUCACUUAUAGAUGGAUCCGCGCUGCAUUAGCUAGUUGGUAAGGUAACGGCUUACCAAGGCAACGAUGCAUAGCCGACCUGAGAGGGUGAUCGGCCACACUGGAACUGAGACACGGUCCAGACUCCUACGGGAGGCAGCAGUAGGGAAUCUUCCGCAAUGGGCGAAAGCCUGACGGAGCAACGCCGCGUGAGUGAUGAAGGUCUUCGGAUCGUAAAACUCUGUUAUUAGGGAAGAACAUAUGUGUAAGUAACUGUGCACAUCUUGACGGUACCCAAUCAGAAAGCCACGGCUAACUACGUG
rnacentral:rRNA from 1 species